GUUAGAACGCUCGUAGUCGGAUUUCGGGGCGGGCCGACCGGUCUGCCGAUGGGUACGCACUGGUCGGCGCGUCCUUCCUUCCGGAGACCGUGCCUACUCUUAACUGAGCGGGGGCGGGAGACGGAACGUUUACUUUGAAAAAAUCAGAGUGUUUCAAGCAGGCAUCUCGCUCUUGCAUGGAUUAGCAUGGGAUAAUGAAAUAGGACUUUGGUGCUAUUUUGUUGGUUUCGAACACCGAAGUAAUGAUGAGAAGGGACAGUCAGGGGCACUCGUAUUCCGCCGAGAGAGGUGAAAUUCUCAGACCAGCGGAAGACGAACCACUGCGAAAGCAUUUGCCAGGGAUGUUUUCACUGAUCAAGAACGAAAGUUAGGGGAUCGAAGACGAUCAGAUACCGUCGUAGUCUUAACCAUAAACCAUACCGACUAGGGAUUGGGGGAUGUUCACUGAUUGACUCCCUCAGCACCUUACGGGAAACUAAAGUCUUUGGGUUCCGGGGGGAGUAUGGUCGCAAGGCUGAAACUUAAAGGAAUUGACGGAAGGGCACCACCAGGUGUGGAGCCUGCGGCUUAAUUUGACUCAACACGGGGAAACUUACCAGGUCCAGACAUUGUGAGGAUUGACAGAUUGAGAGCUCUUUCUUGAUUCGAUGGGUGGUGGUGCAUGGCCGUUCUUAGUUGGUGGAGUGAUUUGUCUGGUUAAUUCCGUUAACG
rnacentral:rRNA from 1 species